GAUGAACGCUGGCGGCGUGCCUAACACAUGCAAGUCGAGCGGAGAUUAAAAAGCUUGCUUUUUAAUCUUAGCGGCGGACGGGUGAGUAACGCGUGGGUAACCUGCCCUAUACACACGGAUAACAUAUCGAAAGAUAUGCUAAUACGAGAUAACACAUUUUUAAGGCAUCUUAGAAAUGUCAAAGCGUUAGCGGUAUAGGAUGGACCCGCGUCCCAUUAGCUAGUUGGUGAGGUAAAAGCUUACCAAGGCGACGAUGGGUAGCCGACCUGAGAGGGUGAUCGGCCACACUGGAACUGAGACACGGUCCAGACUCCUACGGGAGGCAGCAGUGGGGAAUAUUGCACAAUGGGGGAAACCCUGAUGCAGCAACGCCGCGUGAGCGAUGAAGGCCUUCGGGUCGUAAAGCUCUGUCCUAAGGGAAGAUAAUGACGGUACCUUAGGAGGAAGCCCCGGCUAACUACGUGCCAGCCGCCGCCGUAACAC
rnacentral:rRNA from 1 species